CCCGUAAAUGCAAACGAAAAUUCUCCUUUAAGCAAUUUUAAACUUUAAAAAUUCACUAAAUUGUUAUCUUUUGUAAAUAUUAAUUUAUUUUAGAUAAUUUUUCUCGGAUUUCAUACAAUAAUUUGAAAUAUUUACAUUUUUAUUCGGUGGCCAUCGUUUUUUACAAUAAUUUAACCAUUUUACUACAGCAAUAAUAUUAUGUAGAAAUUUCAGCCUCUUUUCAAAAAUGAAUUUGGCCUCUUUCGUAUCCCUUGAAUGUAUCGUAUAUUUCUGUUAUCUAUUUUGCACUGAUUAAACAUUUUU